rfam:Pteropus alecto contig19087, whole genome shotgun sequence.
GUCUAUGGCCAUGCUACCCUGAACAAGCCCGAUCCCAUCUGAUCUUGGAAGCUAAGCAGGUUUGGUCCUGGUUAGUACUUGGAUGGGAGACCACCUAGGAAGACCAGGUGCUGUAGGCG